rnacentral:rRNA from 1 species
UGAACGCUGGCGGCAGGCCUAACACAUGCAAGUCGAGCGGAUGAAAGGAGCUUGCUCCUGGAUUCAGCGGCGAACGGGUGAGUAAUGCCUAGGAAUCUGCCUGGUAGUGGGGGACAACGUUUCGAAAGGAACGCUAAUACCGCAUACGUCCUACGGGAGAAAGCAGGGGACCUUCGGGCCUUGCGCUAUCAGAUGAGCCUAGGUCGGAUUAGCUAGUUGGUGGGUAACGGCCUACCAAGGCGAUGAUCGGUAGCUGGUCUGAGAGGAUGAUCAGCCACACUGGAACUGCGACACGGUCCAGACUCCUACGGGAGGCAGCAGUGGGGAAUAUUGCACAAUGGGCGCAAGCCUGAUGCAGCCAUGCCGCGUGUAUGAAGAAGGCCUCGGUUGUAAGUACUUCUAGCGGAGGAGGAGUAAGUUAAUACCUUAGUCUCAUUGACGUUACCGUCACGAAGAACGACACCGGCGUA